rnacentral:misc_RNA from 1 species
CGAAAUGCGAUAAGUAAUGUGAAUUGCAGAAUUCCGUGAGUCAUCGAAUCUUUGAACGCACAUUGCGCCCUCUGGCAUUCCGGGGGGCAUGCCUGUCCGAGCGUCAUUACGCACCCUCAAGCCCGGCUUGUGUGAUGGGCCCCGGCGUCUCGUUCGCGAGACGGGCCCGAAAGGCAGCGGCGGCGUCGACCCGAUGAGCCCGAGCGUAUGGGGACUUCUGUCACACGUUCGCGGUGCGGACCGGCGCCUGCUUGACUUUUCUGAUUAUCCAGGUUGACCUCGGAUCAGGUAGGGAUACCCGCUGAACUUAAGC